GUCUUAAAGAAAGAUUUUUAAGUCUAACCUGCCCACUGAUUCUUUUUAAAAGGCCGCGGUACUCUGACCGUACUAAAGUAGCAUAAUCAUUUGGCUUUUUAUUGGAGUCUGGUAUGAAAGGUUUAACGUUUGAUUAGCUUUAAUUUUUUAAUUACAAUAAAUUAAAUUUUAAGUAAAAAUGCUUAAAUUUUAUAAGGGGACGAGAAGACCCUGUAGAUUUUUACUUUACUUUUCUAUGUUUAACUGGGACGACUUAAGAAUUAAACUUCUAUAAUUUAAUAUUAUAAAAAAAUAUAAAAGAAGGUUAAAAAUAACAAAUUAAUUUUAUAUGAAAAAUUACCUCAGGGAUAACAGAGUAAUAAUAAAUAAGGAAGAUCAUUUGAAUUUAUGAUUGCGACCUCGAUGUUGAAUUAGGAUAUUAUAAUUAAGCACCACUUUUUAUAAAUAGACUGUUCGUCUAUAUAAUCCU
rnacentral:rRNA from 1 species